CACAAGGGAAGCAUCUCUACUUAGAGGCUGCUUCCUUUGGAGUGUUUGGUUCAUUUUGUACCAAGGCUGAAGGUCACAAAAAGUAAAAAGGAGAAGCAUCUACGAAGGCAGCUUCAGAAAAAUGAAGAUCUUCCCAGUGAGCUGGAAAGUCAAGAAAGAAAAAAACUAGCCAAAAUGAUUUUGCAGUUACGGAUAAACACCUCUCCCUUCUUCUGAGUGAGGAGAAAGCUUCAACACUGGAACACUGGAUUAUUUUUAGCUUUGGAGGAAAGGAUCACCAUGGAAACAUAAUGAAGCAUGAGAGUGAUCAGACUGAUUGACAGUGUUAUAGUAAAGGAAGAUUGACAUGAAAGUCAGAGAUAAAAUUCAUGCUGUUCUAAGGCAUAGUUCCCAUAGUAGUUGAAUCAUCAGGUCUCGUUUUCCAGACACUGAUACCACAUGAGAUUUCUUUGUCCUUACACGGGAGGAACAUAUUGUACAGGUCGCUUUUUUUCUAUGAUACAUUGUCAGUUAGCAGGUUGGUAACAACACUGAAAGGCUCCCUAUUGAUGCAACAAAAGUUUAACUCCUGGAAGUAAAGAUCUAAGUGCUACCUUGCUAUAAAGCCGUAGGUUAAUUUGGUCUUAUCUCUAGUAAAGUCAUGAAGAUUUGCCACAUUUCAUUAUGCAAAAACUUGAGGUACUUGUAAUCUUGAAAUUCUUUAAAAAUUCAUUCUGAUUUUAUCAAAUUUUUCAGUAUAUGGGAAGGACAAGAAUGGAGGAAAAAAAAAGCUGGAAGAACAGUUAUUUUGUUUUGCAAUGCCGAAUGAUUUUAUUCUUACUUAGAGAAUACUCAUAGGAUUGAAAAAAAAUAUCUGAAUCAUAGUGAAUAAAAUACUUAAUUGCACAUGAGAAGAUAUUUUCAUCUUCUUUGUUCUCAUUAAGACAAAUACAACUAUCCAUGACUGUUUUAAAUUCAGAUGGAUUUGACUACCAUGAACUGGCAAUGAAAAAAAAUUGCUUAAUUCUACUUGAAUUCAUCAUUUCAAUUGCAAGUCAUCAUUUUCUAUCCUAGAUAUAAACUAAAAUUUAAAAUCUUCUGUAGGAGUAUUCUUCUAAUCUCAUGUGCUAGUUGUAACAUCAGAAGAUUACUUAAUUUCCAGGAAUAACUAACCAAAGAACUAAUGCCAUUAAUGCCAUAAUGUCUGUGAUCUGCAGUCUUGCAAAGAGGGUUUUUGCUUGCUUGAUCUGUUCUUCCUGCUCAGCCCAGCUCAUUUCAUCCCAUGGUUCCCUCUAGCUCAUGCCUUUCUUUUCCAUGGACAAUUUCCUCAUUCACUGGCACUUUAAAAAGUCUCUUAAGCAUAUUUUUCCUUAUUCUGCAGUGUUUCCUUGUUUAUUUAUUUGUUGACCUAUUUUUAUUCAGUCUAUUCUUUAUUCUGGAGGAUAUUUCUGCCCCAAGACCCAAAGUUCUUGAUUCACUCUAAGUCUUUAAAUUUUCCAGGAGCCACAGUUGGUAUAGUCAGAAACAGAGUUCAGGAACUCCAUUUUCACUCCUUACUAUAUGAUUUAAGUCCAAAGCAUUUGAUCUAGAGUGGUCACAGGACAGCAGCGUAAUCACUUUUAAGAUGGUUCAAGUGUGACAGCAAUGCAGAUGUUAAAAUAAUCCCUGACCACAGUGACCCUUCUUGGUUGUUUCUCUUUUCCACUUCAACUGCAAACAAAUAUUUAACUCCAAUUACCUCAUUGAAAAGCCCAUAGGGAGCCAAGCCUGAUAUUAUAUCAUCUGCAGACAUUUCAUGGCUUACUGCAGUGGUAUGGAGACCUAUGAGAUAGCACGUGCUCUUUCCAGCUUUGUCUCAUGCUUGGUGCGGUCUGUCACUGGAUGACUAACAGUGGAUUGUCCACUUGUAGGGGAAAAGUCCCUUGCUGUUCUGUGUCUGAUCUAUGCCCAUUCUGCCAGGAGUGCACCCUAUGGAUUUUGCAGCAUGGGCCUAUGAGAGCACAAGCAGCUUUUCUGUUUGAUUAGCAAUUGCCAUACAAUGAAAGAACCUGGAGUGGGAAUCAUGGGGUAAGUAAGCUCCAUGGGUGCAAUGGCAGGAGGAACUGCAGGUCUUUCACAAGACCCUCACAAGACAACAGGAAAAAGAGAGAAGAAAGAAAAGAAAUAUAAGGGGGGAAAUAGAACAAGAGGAAAAUAAUUGUACAGUCAAAAAGCACUCAAUGGGAAAUAUCUAACUGCAAAAGCAUGGGGAGAAGAUUGAUCUUAACCUGUAGCGACUACACUGGUAACUAAUAAUGUGAGCUGCCAGCCACUGCUGUAACACUUGUGGAGCAGUUUUGUGUGGAAAAUCUCACAGCCCAUAGGUCUCAUUUCUUCUCCAGACUUUCUACAAGUAAACCUUUUAGGGAUAGAUUUUAAGUGCACUUAGACACAUACCAGCCAAGAUACUUAAAACACUGAAAGAUCUGAGCUUUAGAAACAGACCUGAAACCUUCCUAGCAGCUGAAGACUUUCAGCAUCACCGAAUUACUGAGUUGCCAUUGAAAUCAGUGGCUUUUAUCUUUAAAAUAGGAAAAUAAUAGUUUAAUCACAUAAUUGCUAGGGUAGGUAGCUAGAGAUCCCCUUUUGUACAGAAGCAGGCACAUUCAAUUACCUGUCUGUUCUGUCAAUACUGACUGUCCUGCCAAGAACUUCUAGUUUUUCCUUUGCCCUCCCAAGGACUGGUGCCUAUGUUGCUGGGGCAGAGGAUGCCAGGUGCCCUCUCCUUCACCCCCAUCAAUUCCCAGGGUCCAGGUAUGCAGCACA